CAGUAAUGUUAUCACAAAGUAUUUAAAGGAACCUAGUCUGAUGAGCCUUCCAUAUAUGCUGCUAAAAAGGAAAAUUGGGACUACCCUUUGAGGCACACAUUGUAUCAAACUAAGGCAACCUAACAUUGUUGAACUACAAAUCAAAUACAUUCCCUCCCAUCUUUUCCUGCCCCUGAGAUUUCUUUGGCUCAUGGUUUUCUCUGCUCCCUAACAGGAGUACAUUUUUCUGGGGUUCUAUACAUCACAUGUAUAUAAUGGACAUUCAUUGUUCAGAAGCAUUACUAAACCCCUUUCCAUUGCCAAGGUUACAAGUUUAAUGACAUGGAUUCUGAAAGUUUAAUACACAUGGCAAAGGUGAUUCUCAUCAUAAGUACAGAGCAUGUAUUUAGUUAGGGAAGUUAAGGCAUGUAUUUUUGGAGGCAGAGUGCCCCACCGUGCAAUAAUUUUCACAAAUAAAUUUACUCAAAAGGUCUCCAAGUCAUACUUGUGUUCACCCGUUCUACAUUUCAGUCACCUUUUUUAUGUUUUAUUUCAUUGCCUACUUUUCAUUUGAGUUACCCAUUCUCCCCUUUUGUUCUUCCCCUUCUUUUAAGUAUUCUCCUUAACACCUGCAUCAUGUUCCUUCCAACUUAAUUUUAUAGCAACGCCUUUCCCCCUUCCUUAUUAUGUCAACCCUUCUCUAUUUCAGCUCCAUUCCCUAUUGGACCUCAUUCCACUCUUGUAAUUUUUCCUCCCCUUUUCUUCUUGGACCUAGAUUACUACUUGUUCUAUCUUAACGUAUACUGCCUACCAGUUCCACCUUAAUCCUGUACCACUUUCAACAUCUGCAAUAUCAGUCUGGAGAUAGGGGACAUGUGAGCUUAACAUCUACAGUUGGGAAAUUGUGUGAAGGGUUGCUAAGGCAUAGUAAUCAUAUAUUUAUUGUAACCAACAUAAUUAGUAGUAAUGGAAAUAAUGAAAGGUUAAGUCUUGAUUUGCUUAAACUAAUUUGAUUAUAUGAGGAAGUCAGAAGUAUAGAUCCAUACAAUGCAGUGGAUUUGAUCCAUUUGGAUUUUGGGAUAAGGAAUACUCAACCAACACAAAAUGGUGUAGAUGUUACAGAAAACAAUAAAUGAGAAGGAGUUGGGCAUAGCAUCAGACAACUGAC